rnacentral:rRNA from 1 species
CAGUCGCCGCGGUAAUACGAGGGGGGCAAGCGUUGUUCGGAAUUAUUGGGCGUAAAGGGUGCGUAGGCGGUUUGAUAAGUCAUCUGUGAAAUCUCUGGGCUCAACCCAGAGUCUGCAGGCGAAACUGUCGAGCUUGAGUAUUGGAGAGGUGAGUGGAAUUUCCAGUGUAGCGGUGAAAUGCGUAGAUAUCGGAAGGAACACCUGUGGCGAAAGCGGCUCACUGGACAAUUACUGACGCUGAUGCACGAAAGCGUGGGGAGCAAACAGGAUUAGAUACCCGCGUAGUCCCUGUCUCUUAUAC